rnacentral:lncRNA from 1 species
UUUAAGCUCCCUUUUUCUACUAUUAAGGGAGAAGAAACCCUAGAAGAAAAAGAAGGGGAGACAAGGUGAAACAGAGGUCGGGAGAGGGAAGAAGAAGAGAGAUGACGGUAAAGGAAAGAGAAGAAGAGGAAGAAGAGACAACGGUGAAAGAAUAAGAAGAAGAUGAAUAAGAUUGGCGCGCGUGACUGAAAAACAUCAUGUGGUACGCUUUGUGUAAGGGGCGGAGGAAGAGAGAGAAGAAGUAGGAUUCGAGCGAUCAAGGAAGAGGUGGUGCGACAAAAGGCUGGAAGCAGAAAAUCACUUCGACUACGAACUUCGAUGUGAAGAGAGCUUAGGGGGAAGAGAGAUUGUCACCAAGAUUCUAUAUCAUCUAUAUAACAGCUAAGUAAGUCCAAUAUGCUCCUCACAACUUAGAUUAGAAAUUAUAUACUAAAUUCUUGGCAUAGUAUAUUAGGAAACAAGACCGAU